UACAGAGGUCUCAAGCGUUGUUCGGAUUCAUUGGGCGUAAAGGGUGUGUAGGUGGCGCCGUAAGUCGGGUGUGAAAUUUCGGAGCUUAACUCCGAAACUGCAUUCGAUACUGCGGUGCUUGAGGACUGGAGAGGAGACUGGAAUUCAUGGUGUAGCAGUGAAAUGCGUAGAGAUCAUGAGGAAGACCAGUGGCGAAGGCGGGUCUCUGGGCCUGUACUGACGCUGAGGAGCGAAAGCGUGGGGAGCGAACAGG
rnacentral:rRNA from 1 species